rnacentral:tRNA from 1 species
GGGAGAAUAUACCGUAAGAGGUAGCGGGGCAGACUGUAAAUCUGCUGCCAUUUGGCUCGGGUGGUUCGACUCCAUCUUCUCCCA